rnacentral:misc_RNA from 1 species
UCCGAGUUGACCCCGGCAGUCUCCUACGAGUCCCCGGCAUUACCCGCUGGCAACAUAGGACAAGGGUUGCGCUCGUUGCGGGACUUAACCCAACAUCUCACGACACGAGCUGACGACAACCAUGCACCACCUGUGAGGCGCCCUUGCGGACCCCGCAUCUCUGCGAGUUUUCACCCCAUGUCAAGCCUUGGUAAGGUUCUUCGCGUUGCAUCGAAUUAAUCCGCAUGCUCCGCCGCUUGUGCGGGCCCCCGUCAAUUCCUUUGAGUUUUAGCCUUGCGGCCGUACUCCCCAGGCGGGGCGCUUAAUGCGUUAGCUGCGGCACGGAAACCAUGGAAAGGUCCCCACACCUAGCGCCCAACGUUUACGGCAUGGACUAC